GCAGUUGGAAUGGUUCAUCUCGCUGACUUUGGCCCUUCCUAGACGUGGAGGGUGCGGUCUGUGAUUUUGGCUUGCGUGUCUCCCGGGACCAGGGGUGCCGUGCAGCUUUGCACGUGCUACUUCACCACUGAUGCAUCUUGUUGGGGGAAGCAUCUGUUGAGAUCUUUUGCCCGUUGCUUCGUUCCAGAAUAUGAAAUUGCUGCAGCAUGGUUUCUUGAAGAAGCUACAAUUGUGCACCGAGUCGCCUUUGCACCUUUGUCAAAAGUCUGAACCCUGCAUGGUGGUGGGUGCCUGCGGUCCCAGCUACUUGGGAGGCUGAGGUGGGAGGAUCCCUAGAGCCUGGGAAUUUUGAGGCUGCAGCGAGCAGAGAUGGCACCACUGCACUCCAGCCUGGGCAACAAAGUGAGACCCUGCCUGAAAAAAAGUCAUCAGUCUGUGUGUGUAAGCUGAUUUCUGGACCGUUUUCUUUUGGAUCUACUUGAAUAUUUUUACACCAGUAUCACUCAAGUUUUGCUUACGCUGGUCUCAUAUGAAUUCUUAGAAUGUUAGCUCUUCAAUUGUGUUCUUUUUCAGGAUUGUUUUAGCUCUUCUCCUCCUCUGCUUUUCCAUAUGUGUUUUAGAAUGGACCUGUGAAUUUCUAUAAAUGCAGGGAGAGUUGACAUCUUAACAGUAUUGAACUUACUAAUCCACGAACCUUGGAUGUCCCUGUUUAUUCAGGUUUUCUUCCACUUCUUCCAAGGAUUUUUCACUCUUUCAAUUUGGAGGUCUUUCACAUCUUUUGUCAGAUUGACCUCUAAGUAUUGCCUAUUUUUAUACAGUUAGGAAGUGGUAUUUUUAAUGUCAAUAUCUGAUAGUUGAUUACCAUUUUAUAGAAACACAAUGGACUUUGUAUAUCAGUCUUGUUAUUCCACAACCUUGUUAAUCUCACUGAGUAGUUCUUGCAGGUUUUUCUUUUGUUGUUGAUUCCAUCGGGUUAGAUGGUCACGUUAUCUGUAGAUAAGAUUGUUUUCUUUUUCCUUUCUCGCCUGUAUGGCUUUUAUUUCUUUUGGGGGCCUAAUUGCACGAGCAGGAACCUCCAGGUUAAUGUUGGACGGAGGUGAUGAGGGCAGACAUCCCAGCCUCCUUUCUGUUCUUAGUGAGAAACUGCUCAGUCUUCCGCCAUCGGUUGUGGGGUUUUCAUAGAUAUCCUGUAUUAGGUUAGGGAAGUUCCCUCUAUUCCUAAUUUACUGAGUGAUGUUUUUUAAACAAGUCAGGAACCGACGUUGGAUUUUUCAAAUGCUUUUUCUGCACUGUUAAAAGAAAAACCGUAGACAAAUUAAAUUUAACAGAGUUUAAUUAAGCAAAGAACCACUCGCUAAUGGGGCAGCCCCCAAACCAAAAUAGGUUCAGAGAGGCUCUGGUGCUGCUGUGUGGCUGAAGAUUGGUGGACAGAAAAAGGAAAGGAGGCACAGAAAACGGAAGCAAAGCACAGAAACUGCCAGAGGGGCUGCAGCUCCAUGCUUGCCUUAUCUGAACACGGUUGGAAUGGCCGGCACCCUUGAUGAGCGGAAACCUGGCAAUCGUUAGCUAGGGAACAAUUUGCCUUCAAAAAAGAUAACUCUUAGGUGAAACAAGGCAGAAAAUGUAUAUAUGAAAAGCUAUUUAAGCUGAGACUUUCAGCUUAAAUACUGUACCAUCAUCAUUUGCUCAACCAAGAAAAAAGCAAGGCCCAGUGAAGACAACGUGGCCAGGAAAAACACGUUAAACAAAGGGUGUUGCUCUGUCACCCAGGCUGGAGUGCAGUGGUGCCAUCAUAGCUCACUGCAAUUGUUACAGGAGAGGGGUCCUGAUCCAGACCCCAAGAGAGAGUUCUUGGAUUUGGAUCCUGUGCAAGAAAGAAUUCAGGUGACUUAGAAUGCCUGACCAUGUGGGAAUGCAGCCGAGUAGGACUCAGUCUCAUUUUACCCAGCCCCUGUUCAAGAUGGAGUCGCUCUGGUUCACACGCCUCAGACACAGCCUCUGCCUCCCGCCUCAGCCUCCUAAGCAGCUGGGACUACAGUGCAUACCUGAUUUUCUCGACCUCUUUUAUGAAAUAUCCCCGCCAGACUUCCUCGACCGAGCCACCCCCAGGUUCCCGUGCAUACACAACAUUGCGGGAUAGGUAUCGUGGAAUGAGGGUCCGUGUUACGACCUACAGAAGAUGUGGCUGUGAAGUCAGGAGUCACAGUCUCAGAGUUGACUGCGCUGCCUCGUAGCUGUGUGACCUUCAGGAUUUUUUUCAACCCCCUCUGAGCUUCAGUUUGCUCUCUGGGAAGACUCCAAGGAUAAGAGCAUCUACCUCCUCAGCCUGCUGUGAGAGUUACGGGGCCAGGGCCAAAGACGCUUUGUCCGACUGCUGGUCUGCGGGGAGCUCUAAAUAUGAAUCUGCUACAUCACCUUCACUUUUGAAUUCGGCUCUGAUGUUCCAAAUGUUCUUGGCCGUUCCUUCGUGUUUCUCCUGUACGAAUUUCAGCUUCUUUUUGCCAAGUAUCUCCCCACCCCCGCCCACCCCCACCCCCAAAUAAACUCACUAGAAUGUUGGUUGAAAAUCUGAUAAGGCUACACAUUGAUUUGGAAAGAAAUGAUUUUUUGUGAGAGUCAAACUCCCUACCCACUUUUUUUCUUUUGUUUUUUCAAAAGUUUGUUUCUUACAUUUGUCAUUCAAGUUUGUCAUUUUCUUGCUACAGACUCCAAACACUUUUCAAGAGGACCGUCACUAAGUACUUUAUACUCUUGUUUGGGUUUUUUUAGAGUAAAAAAUGUUCAAAUUCUACUUUAUCUUCUAGCUGGUGGUUGUUGGAAGAUAAUUUUAAAAACUGAUUUAAAAUAUGUAUUUUGCAUCUG